rnacentral:piRNA from 2 species
UGGGUUUACUGGACAUGCCUCAGAGA